rnacentral:rRNA from 1 species
GACAGAGGAUGCGAACGUUGCUCGGAAUUACUGGGCGUAAAGCGCGUGUAGGCGGUUUUGUAAGUCGGGUGUGAAAGCCCGGGGCUCAACCCCGGAAGAGCAUUCGAUACUGCGGAACUCAGGGUCCUGAAGAGGAGAGCGGAAUUCCCGGUGUAGAGGUGAAAUUCGUAGAUAUCGGGAGGAACACCAGUGGCGAAGGCGGCUCUCUGGGCAGGUACCGACGCUGAGACGCGAAAGCGUGGGAAGCAAACAGG